AAGAGGUGCGAGCGUUAAUGUGGCGUCCUCACUCUCACACUGACACGCGGCAUUGAGAGAAGAAAAGGGGAAUUACUUAUAUCCCUAUUCAAAUAUUUGCUGGAUGAACAGAGCAGAGGGUUGUGCUUUCCCUGUGAGAGAAUGGAGCAUUUCCAGUAUGGGUUACUGGUGGGGCAGCGCCCUGAGUCUCAUAGGCUGCUGUUAGAGGGGGGAGAGAGGGAAGUGAGCCAGCCUCAGAAAAUAAGUUUCACUUUAGUUCCAUGUGGCAGGCGGAGCAGCUGGGAGAUAAAGAGACAUCUGCAGAACAGAGAACAAUGCAGGGAUACGGGAACCCUGAGUUCCAGGAGGAGAAGUCGGAGGAAAGCAGCCAGCCUCCUCCAUAUUAUAGCCCCCCAGCACCUGGACCCCAGUACCAGCCAUCCCAGCCCCCUACCUACCCACCUCUCCAGCCCGCUACCUACCCACCUCUCCAGCCUCCGAUCUACCCACCGUACCAACCUCCCAACUACCCGCCUUACCAACCUCCUAACUACCCACCUUACCAACCGACUACAGGGGGCCUUGGAUUACAGCAGCCGCUCAUCUGCCAGCCUAUGACCAAUGUCACUGUGGUGAACACCCAGUCUACAGUCGUGGCUCACCGGCCAGUAUAUAAGGAUUACAUGUGCUGGUCCAUCCUGAAUAUAUUUUUUUGCUGUCUGCCUCUUGGAAUCGUUGCUCUGAUCUUCUCCUGCAAGACAAGAUGCGACAUGGACAGUCACGAUGAUGCGGCCGCAGCACAAAGCUCUCGUAUCGCACACGCUCUAAACAUCGCAGCCCUACUGAUCGGAAUUGUUUUAAACAUCGUAGUUAUUCUAUACUAUACCGGGACAAUAAGAUUUUAAGUUUUUUUUUUUUUUUUUAAAGAAAAUCUGCACUUUCUCAGCAAUCUCUGCUCUGCUUGGACCAAACUUUGAUGCAUCUAUGAAGACAUUUACUGUCAAUAAACCUUUUUUUUUGUUUUGUUAUUUUUAUAGAACAGAA